rnacentral:rRNA from 1 species
UGGGCUUGACAUAUACAGGACGACGGCAGAGAUGUCGUUUCCCUUGUGGCUUGUAUACAGGUGGUGCAUGGUUGUCGUCAGCUCGUGUCGUGAGAUGUUGGGUUAAGUCCCGCAACGAGCGCAACCCUUGUCUCAUGUUGCCAGCAAUUCGGUUGGGGACUCGUGAGAGACUGCCGGGGUCAACUCGGAGGAAGGUGGGGAUGACGUCAAAUCAUCAUGCCCCUUAUGUCCAGGGCUUCACACAUGCUACAAUGGCCGGUACAGAGGGCUGCGAUACUGUAAAGUGGAGCGAAUCUCUUAAAGCCGGUCUCAGUUCGGAUUGGGGUCUGCAACUCGACCCCAUGAAGUCGGAGUCGCUAGUAAUCGCAGAUCAGCAAUGCUGCGGUGAAUACGUUCCCGGGCC